UAACACGUGAGCAACCUGGCUCUAAGAGGGGGACAACAGUUGGAAACGACUGCUAAUACCGCAUAACGUAUCGGGAUGGCAUCUUCCUGAUACCAAAGAUUUUAUCGCUUAGAGAUGGGCUCGCGUCUGAUUAGAUAGUUGGCGGGGUAACGGCCCACCAAGUCGACGAUCAGUAGCCGGACUGAGAGGUUGAACGGCCACAUUGGGACUGAGACACGGCCCAGACUCCUACGGGAGGCAGCAGUGGGGGAUAUUGGACAAUGGGGGCAACCCUGAUCCAGCGACGCCGCGUGAGGGAAGAAGGUUUUCGGAUUGUAAACCUCUGUUGACGGAGAAAAAAAUGAUGGUAUCCGUUUAGAAAGCCACGGCUAACUACGUGCCAGCAGCCGCGGUAAUACGUAGGUGGCAAGUGUUGUCCGGAAUUACUGGGUGUAAAGGGAGUGUAGGCGGGAUGUCAAGUCAGAAGUGAAAAUUACGGGCUCAACUCGUAACCUGCUUUUGAAACUGACAUUCUUGAGUGAAGUAGAGGCAAGCGGAAUUCCUAGUGUAGCGGUGAAAUGCGUAGAUAUUAGGAGGAACACCAGUGGCGAAGGCGGCUUGCUGGGCUUUUACUGACGCUGAGGCUCGAAAGCGUGGGGGAGCAAACAGGAUUAGAUACCCUGGUAGUCCACGCCGUAAACGAUGAUUACUAGGUGU
rnacentral:rRNA from 1 species